rnacentral:rRNA from 1 species
CACUGCCGAGAAAAGCCUCUAGAUAGAAAAUAGGUGCCCGUACCGCAAACCGACACAGGUAGUCAAGAUGAGAAUUCUAAGGUGAGCGAGCGAACUCUCGUUAAGGAACUCGGCAAAAUGACCCCGUAACUUCGGGAGAAGGGGUGCUCUUUAGGGUUAACGCCCAGAAGAGCCGCAGUGAAUAGGCCCAAGCGACUGUUUAUCAAAAACACAGGUCUCUGCUAAACCGUAAGGUGAUGUAUAGGGGCUGACGCCUGCCCGGUGCUGGAAGGUUAAGAGGAGUGGUUAGCUUC